UACGUAGGGUGCAAACGUUGCUCGGAAUUAUUGGGCGUAAAGCGCACGUAGGCGGCUUUGCAAGUCGGAUGUGAAAUCCCUCGGCUCAACCAAGGAAGUGCAUCCGAAACUGCAGAGCUUGAGUACUUAAGAGGAUCGCGGAAUUCCCGGUGUAGAGGUGAAAUUCGUAGAUAUCGGGAGGAACACCAGUGGCGAAGGCGGCGAUCUGGGAAGAUACUGACGCUGAGGUGCGAAAGCGUGGGGAGCAAACAGG
rnacentral:rRNA from 1 species